rnacentral:rRNA from 1 species
CGGCGGAACACGUGAAAUUCCGUCGGAAUCCGGGAGGACCAUCUCCCAAGGCUAAAUACUCCCUAGUGACCGAUAGUGAACCAGUACCGUGAGGGAAAGGUGAAAAGCACCCCGGAAGGGGAGUGAAACAGUUCCUGAAACCGUGUGCCUACAAGUAGUUAGAGCCCGUUAAUGGGUGAUAGCGUGCCUUUUGUAGAAUGAACCGGCGAGUUACGAUUUGUUGCAAGGUUAAGCGGAAAAAGCGGAGCCGUAGCGAAAGCGAGUCUGAAUAGGGCGCAUAAGUAACAGGUCGUAGACCCGAAACCAGGUGAUCUACCCAUGUCCAGGAUGAAGGUAAGGUAAUACUUACUGGAGGUCCGAACCCACGCACGUUGAAAAGUGCGGGGAUGAGGUGUGGGUAGCGGAGAAAUUCCAAUCGAACUUGGAGAUAGCUGGUUCUCUCCGAAAUAGCUUUAGGGCUAGCCUCGAGGUAAAGAGUCAUGGAGGUAGAGCACUGUUUGGACUAGGGGCCCUUCUCGGGUUACCGAAUUCAGAUAAACUCCGAAUGCCAUGUACUUAUACUCGGGAGUCAGACUGCGAGUGAUAAGAUCCGUAGUCGAAAGGGAAACAGCCCAGACCACCAGUUAAGGUCCCCAAAUAUAUGUUAAGUGGAAAAGGAUGUGGGGUUGCUUAGACAACCAGGAUGUUGGCUUAGAAGCAGCCACCAUUGAAAGAGUGCGUAAUAGCUCACUGGUCGAGUGACCCCGCGCCGAAAAUGUACCGGGGCUAAACAUAUUACCGAAACUGUGGAUGAACCUCUUUAGAGGUUCGUGGUAGGAGAGCGUUCUAAGGGCGGUGAAGUCAGACCGGAAGGACUGGUGGAGCGCUUAGAAGUGAGAAUGCCGGUAUGAGUAGCGAAAGAAGGGUGAGAAUCCCUUCCACCGAAUAUCUAAGGUUUCCUGAGGAAGGCUCGUCCGCUCAGGGUUAGUCGGGACCUAAGCCGAGGCCGAUAGGCGUAGGCGAUGGACAACAGGUAGAGAUUCCUGUACCAGUGCUAAUUGUUUAACCGAUGGGGUGACACAGAAGGAUAGGGAAUCGCACGAAUGGAAAUGUGCGUCCAAGCAGUGAGUGUGAGAAGUAGGCAAAUCCGCUUCUCGCGAAGCAUGAGCUGUGAUGGGGAAGGAAAUUAAGUACGGAAGUUCCUGAUUUCACGCUGUCAAGAAAAGCCUCUAGGAAGAGUAGUACUGCCCGUACCGCAAACCGACACAGGUAGAUGAGGAGAGAAUCCUAAGGUGAGCGAGAGAACUCUCGUUAAGGAACUCGGCAAAAUGACCCCGUAACUUCGGGAGAAGGGGUGCUCUAUUAGGGUGCAAGCCCGAGAGAGCCGCAGUGAAUAGGCCCAGGCGACUGUUUAGCAAAAACACAGGUCUCUGCAAAACCGUAAGGUGACGUAUAGGGGCUGACGCCUGCCCGGUGCUGGAAGGUUAAGAGGAGUGCUUAGCUUCGGCGAAGGUACGAAUUGAAGCCCCAGUAAACGGCGGCCGUAACUAUAACGGUCCUAAGGUAGCGAAAUUCCUUGUCGGGUAAGUUCCGACCCGCACGAAAGGCGCAACGAUCUGGGCACUGUCUCAACGAGAGACUCGGUGAAAUUAUAGUACCUGUGAAGAUGCAGGUUACCCGCGACAGGACGGAAAGACCCCGUGGAGCUUUACUGCAACCUGAUAUGGAAUGUUUGUACCGCUUGUACAGGAUAGGUAGGAGCCGAAGAGACGUGUGCGCUAGCAUACGAGGAGGCAAUGGUGGGAUACUACCCUGGCUGUA